ACUGCUCAGUAACACGUGGACAACCUAACCUACAGAAGGGGAUAACCCCGGGAAACUGGGGAUAAUACCCUAUAGACUAUGAAUGCUGGAAUGCUUCGUAGCCGAAAGGUCCGCCGCUGUAGGAUGGGUCUGCGGCCGAUUAGGUUGUUGUUGGGGUAACGGCCCAACAAGCCUGUAAUCGGUACGGGUUGUGGGAGCAAGAGCCCGGAGAUGGAUUCUGAGACACGAAUCCAGGCCCUACGGGGCGCAGCAGGCGCGAAAACUUUACAAUGCGGGAAACCGUGAUAAGGGAACUCUGAGUGCCCGUAAAAUCGGGCUGUCCAUCAGUUUAAAUAACUGGUGAAGAAAGGGCCGGGCAAGACCGGUGCCAGCCGCCGCGGUAAUACCGGCGGCUCGAGUGGUGGCCACUAUUACUGGGCUUAAAGCGUUCGUAGCUGGUUUGUUAAGUCUCUGGGGAAAUCUUCCGGCUUAACCGGAAGGCGUCUCAGGGAUACUGGCAGACUAGGGACCGGAAGAGGUGAGAGGUACUCCAGGGGUAGGAGUGAAAUCCUGUAAUCCUUGGGGGACCACCUGUGGCGAAGGCGUCUCACCAGAACGGCUCCGACAGUGAGGGACGAAAGCUGGGGGAGCAAACCGGAUUAGAUACCCGGGUAGUCCCAGCCGUAAACGAUGUGCAUUAGGUGUAUCGGUGACCACGAGUCACCGAGGUGCCGAAGAGAAAUCGUGAAAUGCACCGCCUGGGAAGUACGGUCGCAAGGCUGAAACUUAAAGGAAUUGGCGGGGGAGCACCACAACAGGUGGAGCCUGCGGUUUAAUCGGACUCAACGCCGGGAAACUCACCAGAUAAGACAGCUGAAUGAUAGUCGGGCUGAAGACUCUACUUGACUAGCUGAGAGGAGGUGCAUGGCCGUCGUCAGUUCGUACUGUGAAGCAUCCUGUUAAGUCAGGCAACGAGCGAGACCCCCGCC
rnacentral:rRNA from 1 species